UACGGAGGGUGCAAGCGUUAUCCGGAUUCACUGGGCGUAAAGGGUGCGUAGGUGGUCGGGUAAGUCUGAUGUGAAAUCUCUGGGCUCAACCCAGAAAUGGCAUUGGAUACUAUUCGGCUAGAGGAGUGGAGGGGGGACUGGAAUACUUGGUGUAGCAGUGAAAUGCGUAGAUAUCAAGUGGAACACCAGUGGCGAAGGCGAGUCCCUGGACACUUCCUGACACUGAGGCACGAAAGCUAGGGGAGCAAACAGG
rnacentral:rRNA from 1 species